GGGCCUGUAGCUCAGUUGGAAUAAGAGCGUCCGCCUUCUAAGCGGAGGGUCGCAGGUUCAAGCCCUGCCAGGCUCA
rnacentral:tRNA from 1 species